GAGGUAACUCGCCUCUCACUCACUCAGCUGUUACCUGUGUGAGGUAACUCGCCUUUCACUCACCUGGCAAAGGUAACUCGCCUCUCACUCACUCAGCUGUUACCUGUGUGAGGCAACUCGCCUUUCACUCACCUGGCAAAGGUAACUCGCCUCUCACUCACUCAGCUGUUACCUGUGUGAGGUAACUCGCCUCUCACUCACUCAGCUGUUACCUGUGUGAGGUAACUCGCCUUUCACUCACCUGGCAAAGGUGCAAGUAGCCAACGGUGACUCUCGCGAGAACUGACCAGGAGGUCUCGUGGAUUCGAUCCCGACACUGA